CAGGCCUAACACAUGCAAGUCGAGCGGAAACGAGUUAUCUGAACCUUCGGGGAACGAUAACGGCGUCGAGCGGCGGACGGGUGAGUAAUGCCUAGGAAAUUGCCCUGAUGUGGGGGAUAACCAUUGGAAACGAUGGCUAAUACCGCAUAAUGCCUACGGGCCAAAGAGGGGGACCUUCGGGCCUCUCGCGUCAGGAUAUGCCUAGGUGGGAUUAGCUAGUUGGUGAGGUAAGGGCUCACCAAGGCGACGAUCCCUAGCUGGUCUGAGAGGAUGAUCAGCCACACUGGAACUGAGACACGGUCCAGACUCCUACGGGAGGCAGCAGUGGGGAAUAUUGCACAAUGGGCGCAAGCCUGAUGCAGCCAUGCCGCGUGUGUGAAGAAGGCCUUCGGGUUGUAAAGCACUUUCAGUCGUGAGGAAGGUAGUGUAGUUAAUAGCUGCAUUAUUUGACGUUAGCGACAGAAGAAGCACCGGCUAACUCCGUGCCAGCAGCCGCGGUAAUACGGAGGGUGCGAGCGUUAAUCGGAAUUACUGGGCGUAAAGCGCAUGCAG
rnacentral:rRNA from 1 species